rnacentral:rRNA from 1 species
CCUACGGGGGGCAGCAGUGAGGAAUAGUGGGCAAUGGGCGGACGCCUGAACCAGCCAAGUCGCGGGAGGGAAGACUGCCCUAUGGGUUGUAAACCUCUUUUGUCAGGGAGCAAUUGGCGCUACGUGUAGCGUUAUCGAGAGUACCUGAAGAAAAAGCAGCGGCUAACUCCGUGCCAGCAGCCGCGGUAAUACAGAGGAUGCGAGCGUGAUCCGGAUUGAUUGGGUUUAAAGGGUGCGUAGGCGGACUGCCAAGUCAGCGGUAAAAUCGCGGGGCUCAACCUCGCUCCGCCGUUGAAACUGGCGUUCUUGAGUGGGCGAGAAGUAUGCGGAAUGCGUGGUGUAGCGGUGAAAUGCAUAGAUAUCACGCAGAACUCCGAUUGCGAAGGCAGCGUACCGGCGCCCAACUGACGCUGAGGCACGAAAGCGUGGGUAUCGAACAGGAUUAGAUACCCUGGUAGUC